UACGGAGGGUGCAAGCGUUAUCCGGAUUCACUGGGUUUAAAGGGUGCGUAGGUGGCUUUGUAAGUCAGUGGUGAAAUCUCGGAGCUUAACUCCGCAACUGCCAUUGAUACUGCUUAGCUUGAAUCAAGUAGAGGUGGAUGGAAUAUUACAUGUAGCGGUGAAAUGCUUAGAUAUGUAAUAGGACACCGAUUGCGAAGGCAGUUCACUAUGCUUGUAUUGACACUGAGGCACGAAAGCGUGGGGAUCAAACAGG
rnacentral:rRNA from 1 species